rnacentral:lncRNA from 1 species
UUGUUUAUAAAUGAUGAUAUGUUACUUACGUUCCCAUCUAAGAAUUUCUCAUGUAUAUAUAUCAUAACAUUUUAAAUGAUCUGUUACAGUUUUAAGACAAUUUCAUUCUUUGGUGCUCUAUCCAUGCACCUUUAAGGCAUGGAUAUAUCAUGAUCUCAACUUUAAAAUCUUCAUGAAGGUUUUUGUUUUUUAUAAAUCAAUGUAUCCUCUAUCGCAAUUACAUAAAUUAAUCAUUGGAGAUAAGUAUAUU